GGGAUACAUUUUAAGGGAAGGGGAGUUUAAAAAAGUGAAUGCUUUUAUUCUAAGUAUACCUUUUAUUCUAUAUUCUGUAUUACCUUUUGGAGAACGUUACAUCACUCAGAAAAAUAAAGUAACUCCCAAUAUGUAUCUAUUUAGGAUUAAUAUUUUUAAAUAGUUUUGGUUUGAAAAUGUAUUCAUUCACUCAAAAGUAGGUACAGCUUUAGACCUAGACUUUGAGUUGUCCGUUUGUGAUGGUCUUUUAAAUUGUGGUUUUAAUAAGGAGAAAGACGUGUGACAGUGUCCUGUGACUGCUGCUGUCCACGUUUAUGAAAACAGUAUGUCCUCAGAGUGAUGUGGGGUUGGUGAGAAGUUCUUCUGAUUCUGCGGCCUCAGUGAGUUUAAGAGAAGUUUCUUAUGUAGUCUUAGCUUUUCCGUACCAGCUUUCUUUCAUCAACCUUUCCUAACAAUAAAGAAGAAGAAAAUAGCAACAGUUUUAUUUCCCCUGGUUUACCUUUCUUAUUUCUGUGACUACAUGACACCAAAGUAACUGGUUGGGAAACCAAUUCAGAUGACCAGUUGCUAGUUUUCACAACUUCUGAUCAAACUCUCAGUUGGACUGACAUUUAUUACCAGUGAAAAGACUGAAUAUUUGGAUUCCUGUGGAGUCAGCCUUUGUCUCUUCCCAUUUUCCACAGUUCUCCAAUUUUUCCCUCUUACUACCCAGUUUCCUCCAAUUGUUUCCUACUGCGUUUAGGGGAAUUUCUUCCUUAUGGUUCUGAAUCUUUGGAAUUACAAGAGACAUGAGAACAGGGCUUCUCAUCGAGGUUAUGUUUUCCCAUGUCCACUAUUAAAUAGUUUUUUCUAUCAUGAAAGCAAACAUAGGAAGAAACCAACAUAUCUGAGAUCCAUAAAGGUGAACCCCUACCCCCUUUUUUCAAAACUUCAUUUUGUGCAGAAAGGCAACAUUAAAAACUUUUCCUCCAUAUAUUCUGUCUACGAAAGCUCUAUAAAGAUGAGAAAUAUGAUAUAGUUAUGCAGCUCUUCUAUGUUAGGGACAUAGCAUGUGCAUGUCGGCAUUUAGCUGCUGUCAGUAUUUUCGCUGCAGGGAUAUUCAGCAGGAACGAGAAUCAGCACCCAGAACCUGGUUGCCACAACACAAGGAUACACUGUUCUUCUCAGUCCUAGAGAUGUCGACUUGCCUUGCAUCCAGCUUUUCUUAGGUGUGGCCAGUGGUGGCUUGUUAGCGGGCCUGAUACCUGAUGUUCUGAUCAGUCUGUCUGAAACUGUCUUCUUCCUUCUAUAUUAGGAGAAGAUACAUUUUGAAUGUUUCAUCAGUAAUCAAAUAACCAACAUGUGGGAUAUACAGGACAUAAGGGAACUAACAAUCAAACACCAGUUACUGAAUACUCCAUGACACCCGUGGAAUGCGGCCAGGAAACGUGAAGCGUAUGACGGAUAGUACGCAAAAGAGAAAUAACUGAGAAGUCACAGAGUUAAGGCAAGUUUUAAGUCUCCUUUAAAUGCCUUGGAGCAAAACAGGCCAAUUACAGCUUUUGUUUGAAUGAAUCCAUCCAGUAGGAACUUCUGUCAAUAUGCAGGGAAAUCUACAUCAUUGCUACUCAAAGUGUGGUCCACAGACCAGCAGCAUCAGCAUCAGCAUCACCGAAGACCUUUUUAGAAAUAUAGACUCUUGGGGCCCAUUCCACACCUACUGAAUCAGAAGUUGCAUUUUAGCAAGGUCUGCAGGUAAUUGAGAAACACUGAUUUAGGUCAUGGUUAGAAUUAAGACUACUUUAUCUGUUUUAGUUCAGCUGCUUCAGGUUUUGAAUGCUGGAGUCCUUCCUCCUUGCCUCCCCCGCCCCCUUCUUGUUCUUCAUUUUCAUGAAACAUUUGGGAGAACAUUGCUAAAGAAAAAAGUUUCAAAUUUUUUUGAGACAACAGAAGAAAAAGAGCACCACUUUAUAACUUUGUCCAACUCCAAAUUGAGAUUCAAUGAAAGGGAAAAUAUAAAAUAGCUCCAGUCGUUUGCAUACAAUAUAUGGCUUGAACUUUGUUCUGUAUAAGGCUUUGUCUCCAAAUAAAACAAUUGUAUGAAAAACCCCACUAACUUCAUCUUCUUUAAUUUUCUGUGGUCUCUCCGUCCCUUCCAGCUGUGAAAUGCCUAUUUUCUUUUCCUCAGUCUCUUUCUCUCAUGCCUCCCCUCGCUCGCCCCCUCUUCCAGCUGGUAACAGUUUAUGAAGCAUGUUGCAGUGUUAAUACCGUGUUAAGGUGCUUUCAGCUGUUGGGUCUUUGAGACGUCAACGUCAGGACUGUUUUACUGUGAACGCUUGGCGGGUAGGGUAAAUCUGGGGACAUGCUGAACUUCUAGCUCCUCACCCUGUAGGAAGCCUUACAGCUAUAGGCACCUCUCCCAUAAUGCAGUGUUGCUGGCUGGCCUAAUUUGGAAUAAUUUCCUGGGAGUGAGAGCAGGUCCAUCCAUGUUGCUGCAAAUGGCAAGAUUUCAUUCUUUUUAAUGGGUCAUGAAACAUAUGGCCUAUAAAAUCAUUCCCAUUGGGAAAGAAUGGCAGAAAAGUCAUCCUCCUUUGAAGAUAAGUUUAAUUAAAAAGUAAAUUCCAGGGGCUGGCCUGGUGGUGAAGCACGUUCCGCUUCAGCAGCCUGGGGUUCGCCGGUUUGGAUCCCAGGUGCUGACCUAUACACCGCUUGUCAAGCCAUGCCGUGGCAGGCGUCCCACAUGUAAAGAAGAGGAAGAUGGGCAUGGAUGUUAGCUCAGGGCCAGUCUUCCUCAGCAAAAAGAGGAGGAUUAGUGGCAGAUGUUAGCUCAGGGCUAAUCUUCCUCAAAAAAAAAAAAAAAAAAAGUAAAUUCCAUCCUCUCAACAUCACAUCAGUGAUUGCUGCACAAUAACAUUGUUCAUAGCAAAAUUCCUGAUUGUUACUCAUUUUGUUUUUUAAAGCAAAUGCUGUCAUUGAGGAUUAAAAAUGUUUUUUUCAAUUAUACAAAUACAAAAAUGUUUAUUUUUAACUCAUCUAUAACAUUUUACAUGUACUUUUAAAUAGUUGUUUAAAAUAGUUGGAAAUAGGAUUUCUAAAUUAAUCAUUGUUUUAAAUAGUUUGGAUUAAGAUUUCUGAAUACUGGAUCUCCUGUGAAAUGAGGGAGUGGAGGGCAGAAUGUUUAUAAUAAAGUGCUUUACAUACUAAUCAUCUAGAAUGGGAUAGAAUAAACUGUUUCAAAUAUCCUUCCAGUUGUAAUGAUAGGAUGUUUUUAGGUAAAUUUACAGAAUUUGUUUUAUUUUACAAAUUGAUUGGUGUAUUCAUCAUUCACAGAUUUAUUAGUGAAAGCUGGAUUCUAAAUGACUUUCCUAUGAUAAGCUUUCCAAUUAAUUCUUCUCACACUGUUUUCCUGGUGACACUUGAACUUCCUUCAUUAUAUAAAACACAUCUGGAGUGAGACAUUGCUGAAUAAUAAUCAUGGAUGCUAACGUGUUAAGUAUUGGACCCCUGACAUAGUCAAAUGUGUUCUGGUUUAAAACAAUGACCUCAACUAAUGCUGCUUUAAGCGAACCACAUUUAGCAAGAAUAUAUAGGCAUGUCUGUUGAGCUCGCCUGUCUUGCGCUAGAAUUGGUCAAAAAGAGAGAAAUCAAAUUGCAAACUGUCUCCUUUGUGUAAUAGAGUUGGCUAUAUUAAGUCAUAUUUUUCCUCUCAUCAGCAAAUAUUUUUUCUUCUCUCUUGUCUUAUAUGAAAAAUAUUGCAAUAAGUAAAUAUUAAAAAAGGAUUAUCUAAAACAUAUGUUAAAUUAUGUAUUACUUAAAAUUUACAUUUGUAUCAUAGGGUUACUGAAUUUUUUCUGUGGUGUAUUUCAUAAAAGAGAAGAUGCUGAUAAGAUCUUGUUUAAAUGGCUUGCUAAUACAAGAAGCAGAUCAUUUAAAAUGAAACUUACAUCUUUAUAGGAUGUUAGAAAUGAAGACAUUACUUCAAAAUGUAGGUAAUUAUUGCCUCCUCUUUUAUCAGUGCUAUUUUCUGAGGUAUUAUCAUAAGAGAGCACUUUAGUAUUAAACACAGCCUUCGAGUGGCUAUAAAUCAGGCCAACUGAGUCAUCAUUGUCUAAGGCAUCUGAACUACUGCAAUGUUGUGGAUCCUACCGAGAGUGUGAAAUCACUUGACCCUUGGCAUUAACCUUCGCUGAAUGAAUAGACACUGCUUUCCACAUUGAGGAACAAAGCAGAAGACUAUUGAUUAAACACCACAUUCACUUGAUAUUAAAUACCGGCUGAACUCACUUCUUGCUUCCAGUUCCAGAGGGAGAAACCCAGAGAGUUGCUGAGUCUCAGGAGAAUGGAUGUUUGUAAUUCAGAGCAAUGUUUUUCCUGCAAAGUACUUUUUUUCUCCUUUGAUCAAUACCUAGCAGCCAUGAUCAGCCAUGAGUAUGUAUUGUCAAUUCUGACCUGUGUAUUUUAUCACUUAAGGUGAGAGGUCACAGUGCUGUGACUAAUAUUUCAGUUCUCAGCAUGAAUUGUUUCCUGACUUCAAUAUCUGUGUGAAGCAGCCAUUUCUUUCAUUUCAUUUCUUGUUUAUGAAUCAUUUUUUUUGACAGUUGAUUUGCCUGCAUUAAUAAAACACAUUAUUUAAAACAAAUUUUUUUAAUCACUGUUUUUGCAGAUGGUGAAUUUUCUAGAACUUGACAUUAUUAGAAGAAAUCAUAAUCACAGGACGUUUUAUGAUUUAUGGUUUAUGUUAUUUGGGAAAGAGAAACAUAGUUCAAUAAAUUUCUCAAGUUAGAAGAAAGCAAAAGCUUUGGAAGAGAGUACAGUGAUGCUUAUGAGUGUAAAGGGAACAAUAAAAGAUAUUUUACAGGAAGUCUUAAGCUAAUUGUCCUCUGAUCCACUGCUUGUACCUACACUAUUGACAACAGUUUGACAGCUUCUUGGUAGACUUACUUUAUCCAGAAGGUGAACAUUUAUUGUUGACAUAUAAAUUAAUUCAAUUCAUAGAACUAGAAUUAAGUUUAAAAUUUUAGCCACAAACAAGAAAAGCAUUUACACCUUAAAUUUAAAUAGUUUCUAUGUGCUUAUAAACUGGAAUUACUUUAUUGCAGGAAGCAACAGAAAUAGCUACAAUUUCUUUCUUCUCUCUCAAAGUUUUCAUAUUAUUUUGGAACAAAUAAUUACAUAUUAUCUGGCCUGGAUAUUGCACGAGUAAAACUCUUUAUAAAUAAUUGUUUUCCUUGCUAUAGGUUUUGACUGGCUUGUGUUCAACACUGAGGAUUCUAGAUCAGCUCGUUGUGAGUUUGUCAUGGUUAAGCAAAGAUCAUUACUUGUCUGAAUAAUCGAAAAUAUUUCCUCUAAGGACAUAAUGGUGUAAUUUAAUACACACGAUCUCACACAGUUUGCACGAUGUUAGAAAAGGAAUAUU
rnacentral:lncRNA from 1 species